AGCUUUGCGCAGUGGCAGUAUAUAACCAAUGAAGUUAAUCUGAGGUGUGAUUAUUGCUAGUUGAAAAUUCUUUCCUCAAUUUGAACCUUAGAGUCCAAAAAUGAGGUACCAGCAUGAAUUCCUUUAAGCUUAAUUACCAG
ensembl:snRNA U4 U4 spliceosomal RNA